rnacentral:rRNA from 1 species
UACGUAGGGUCCGAGCGUUGUCCGGAAUUAUUGGGCGUAAAGGGCUCGUAGGCGGUUCGUCACGUCGGGAGUGAAAACUCGGGGCUUAACCCCGAGCCUGCUUCCGAUACGGGCAGACUAGAGGUAGGCAGGGGAGAGUGGAAUUCCUGGUGUAGCGGUGAAAUGCGCAGAUAUCAGGAAGAACACCCGUGGCGAAGGCGGCUCUCUGGGACGGUACUGACGCUGAGACGCGAAAGCGUGGGGAGCAAACAGG